rnacentral:tRNA from 1 species
GGGGGUAUAGCCCAGUGGUAGACCUCAUGCUUAGCAUGCGGUAGGUCCUGAGUUCAAUCCUCAGUACCUCCA